GAUGAACGCUGGCGGCGUGCCUAAUACAUGCCAGUCGAGCGAACAGAUAAGGAGCUUGCUCCUCUGACGUUAGCGGCGGACGGGUGAGUAACACGUGGAUAACCUACCUAUAAGACUGGGAUAACUUCGGGAAACCGGAGCUAAUACCGGAUAAUAUAUUGAACCGCAUGGUUCAAUAGUGAAAGACGGUUUUGCUGUCACUUAUAGAUGGAUCCGCGCCGCAUUAGCUAGUUGGUAAGGUAACGGCUUACCAAGGCAACGAUGCGUAGCCGACCUGAGAGGGUGAUCGGCCACACUGGAACUGAGACACGGUCCAGACUCCUACGGGAGGCAGCAGUAGGGAAUCUUCCGCAAUGGGCGAAAGCAUGACGGAGCAACGCCGCGUGAGUGAUGAAGGUCUUCGGAUCGUAAAACUCUGUUAUUAGGGAAGAACAAAUGUGUAAGUAACUAUGCACGUCUUGACGGUACCUAAUCAGAAAGCCACGGCUAACUACGUG
rnacentral:rRNA from 1 species